CUUCCCUAGCAUGAUUCAUUUGGACGUAUCCCAUUCAUUUCAGCUGUUUUUUUAACUGCAAUAUAAUUUCUCUUCUUACACGACUCGCUGAUCUACAGCCAUUCUUAACUGGUGUAUUGUGUUGUUAUGGCUAAAACAGUGCAACUGAACUAAUUUCAAUAAACUUUCCAGGUAAGAAAGAUUUGCAAACAUGUAACCUCAGAAUUCAGUGCUGGUGAGGCUUAAAACACCAUCCUACACGUUUGGGCAGUAAAGUCAUACAACGCCUCUGCUGCUAGGAGUCUGUCAUCUGAAAGUACACAGGACUGCAAUCUCAUUUCCCAGUAAAACCAGUUCAGGCUUGCCAGUAAAACAUCCUGCCCCCACACCGCUUUGAGCCAUAAUCCUGAUUUGCAACUUUCAUUUUUUAAAAUGCAUGCCACUUGGAUGUCACGUCUGGGAUAUGAGCCUGUUUUUAGUGGGAAAACCUCUCCCCUUCCUUUGAUGUUUAGUCAACCAAGUCCUAGCAACACACCCACCAUCUGGAAAAGAGAUCUUCUCAUCCAUUGUCAGGGCAGGGGUGUGGGGAGUCUUCGGAAUGGCUUUACUGGGGCUGGGAGGCAGCGGGCCUGCCCCAAGCAACGCCUCAUGGCCAGACAGGUGUUCUCUUUCCCAUGCAGUUUGUCAGAGUUCCAUGGAAUACACUCCUGCGUGCAGGUGAGUCUUCUGGUUAGACUUGCAAAGUAACCUAGUGUUGUUACACCCAUUUUGCUGGAGGGAAGAUGGAAGUAGCAGAGAGGGGGGUGGGGCAAAGCCCAGUCGGACUGCAGCCCCGGCAGCGCCGCUUGCAGCCCGUUCCUGGGAGACCCUCUGCGGCAACACGCUGCUUUCUACGGGCGCCAGCUGAAAGAGCCGUAUCGUAAAUGCCUAACGGGCCGGUCCAAAAUGGCUGGCUUUGGGCCACAUGGGCACCCCUCCUGCUGCCCCCGCGUGCCUCUUACUGCCUGAGAUAUUUUUCCUGAAAUUGAACCCCCUCUUCUUCCACUCAAGCACCUCUUUUUAAAACGGGUGUCCUUUCCCCAGCGUGAUUUUCUCCUCCAGGGAGUCGUCUUCUCAUGCUGGGUAUGAAGUACGAGAGUGUCAGUUUUGGCAUUUUUCCUAGGGAAAGCUCCAGUUCAAAUUCAUCUGGUACCCACUUGUUCUUCCUGGUGUUGGUCCAGCUAUUUUCCGAGCUCCGCUCCAGCACGACGUUUCAAAUGCCUCAAUGGAGGAUACACAAAUUGCCAUGUCCACACACAUUUAGGCAUUAUUCUCCUCCGCUCCGCCUGAGCCCCAGAGCUGCUCGGUACCUAGCGGGGCGCCCCAGACAACCCUGUGGUUGCGAUUCAGCCUCCGGGUCUUUCUAGGAGAUUCCAGAGGGGGCUGCAAAGCUGACUGAAGCAGGAGUGUGUUUGUGAGCAUCUAGAGGGGUUGUGACGUAUGGGAAGCACACAUUCCGUUUCUGUUUCUCUUUCCUCCUGGACAGCAGCACUCCAACAGGAAGAGAGAAGUUUCUAGAAAAGCCCAGAUGAUCGGAGCUAACAGUAUAUAAAUGGGGGAACUGCAAGCUUCGGACCAGUGCUGGGAGGAAGGGACCCGUGGGAAGGAUUUUCUCCCGCAGUGGCACAUUCUGGAGAAUUUAGCUCCGUGUGGAUGGACAAAGCUGCUGCCGUCCUCUGGGCUCCAACUGCAGCUCUGGGCUCGAUUCAGGCCUGUGCAAGGUCUGCAGGUUGAGUCAAAGCGUCCACCGUGUCUUUUGGGAUCACUGGCUGAGCCUGUAGAGGGGAAAGCUCUUCCUUGUGACCUGCUGCAACCGGACUCACUACUCCGGAAGCCGUUCCUUGGAACUGACCAGCAGGUGGCCAAGGAGACCAGGCAGGCCCUUUUGCAGCACCAUUCAUUCUAGAAGGAUCCAGAAGGGACAGGACUGGGAGCACUCGCAAAACAACCUGAUGGGAAUGUUUUCGGAACUCCGGCCAUGGCGUUCGCCCAUCUUUGGCCCCGUCGCCAUCUGAAGUAGGAAGCCCAAGGCCAGCCUGGCGAUAGCGGCAUGCCGGCCCCGGGAGGCAUCUGCAGGAUGCCCUGCUGCACCUCCGGCUCCUGGAUGGGGUGACAGAAAGCAGAGGCUGCGCCUGGAUGUGAACGACUUCACCCCAGACGAGCGGCUGCCAUGAGCGGAGGAGGAUGCCACAGCCCCUGGGAGACGCGGACCUGCAGCGCUGGUGGGAGCCCUUUCCUUCCAGUGUGUCUUUGCUAGACCUUUGUGUCUAGCAAAGACACACUCCCGUGUCCCAUCUGUUGCGGCAUGAAAGCACAAGAAGGCGAUGCAAACAGCAAGGCUGGGAAAGACAAGGGCAGAAGCAGGGCACGGGCCUGGGUCGCUGGCCCACCGACGGCUGUAAAUUCACGGCUUGGCUUCUCCUUUCAUUCUGCCUUGCUUCCUUCUCUUCCUGCUCUGAGAAUUGCAAGUUGUUCUUCCACUGAGCCUGGGUUUUUCAGUAAUUCCUUACAGCUGGCAUUCAUAACCUUUUCUUGAUUGUUUUGUAAAUAUAAUCUAUAAAAUGAAGAUAAAACAGUGCUUUCUGCAA